rnacentral:rRNA from 1 species
UCCCGGCAGUUCAAGUCGCAACCAACAUUAUUGGGUCUAAAACAUCCGUAGCUUGCUUGAUAAGUCUCUUGUGAAAUCCCAUGUCUUAAAUAUGGGGCGUGCGAGAGGUACUAUUGAGCUAGAGACCGGUAGGUGUAAGAAGUACGCUCAAGGUAGUAGUAAAAUACGUUAAUCUUGAGUGGACUCACAAUUAGCGAAGGCAUCUUACAAGGACGGAUCUGACAGUGAGGGAUGAAGGCCAAGGGCGCAAAAG